GAUUGCAUCUCACCUGAAAUGAAUCUUGGGUUGACUUGCCAUUUAUGAGAAAAGCUUUGAUUUUAAUGAAGUUUGAAAUCUACUGAGGCUCCCAGGCACAGGAGGUAGCCACUCGCAAAUGUUCUGAUCCUUCUGGAAAAGAAAUAACAGUUGCUUCACUGUCAUUGCAGUCAAGUUUUUCCUCUAUCCCUCGACUUAAAAAAAAAAAAAAAAAA
rnacentral:misc_RNA from 1 species